rnacentral:rRNA from 1 species
AUUGAACGCUGGCGGCAGGCCUAACACAUGCAAGUCGCGCGAGCGGCGGACGGGUGAGUAAUGUCUGGGAAACUGCCUGAUGGAGGGGGAUAACUACUGGAAACGGUAGCUAAUACCGCAUACCAUCAGAUGUGCCCAGAUGGGAUUAGCUAGUAGGUGGGGUAAUGGCUCACCUAGGCGACGAUCCCUAGCUGGUCUGAGGUGAUGACCAGCCACAAUGGAACUGAGACACGGUCCAGACUCAUAAGGGAGGCAGCAGUGGGGAAUAGUGCACAAGGGGCGCAAGCCUGAUGCAGCCAUGCCGCGUGUAUGAAGAAGGCCUUCGGGUUGUAAAGUACUUUCAGCGGGGAGGCGUUACCCGCAGAAGAAGCACCGGCUAACUCCGUGCCAGCCGCCGCGGUAAUUC